AUACGGAUAACCUGCGUAGCAUCUUACCAAACAGAAAACUCAAGGGAAGCAGGAGGGCAUUCUGUGAUGAUUAAGCACCCAGCUCUGACCUGGAGUGCGUUGCAACUGCUGCACAGCUUUCCUAGAACUUCUCAUUCUGAUUUAUCAGUAUUUACAGGAGUGUUGCCAUGAUGAUGGAUUUCUGCUUGAAAAAUAUUCCAUGAGGUUCCACUUUUCCCAUACAACAUUAGGGAAUGAGAGUGAUUUUUGUCAGGGACUCCUGGAAUUUGUUUACAGCAGCCUCAGCCUUCACAAGCAGCUUUCUACUGCCUGAAUCUUGGCUUUUAACUUCCAUUUCUAAUUAUGUCUAAACUGAGUUCAGCAUGCAGCCCUCUGUUUGUAGCUCAUUUUUCCAUUGGUGUAAAAAAGUUAAAUAUGAUAAAGCUGCUAACUCUGUAAAAAACAUGAUCAAAUGAAAGAGGAUAUGAGAUCACAUAAAUGCAAAUGAAUAUUGAUUACAGUUAUAAUGAUUAUAGUUAGUUUAACAAUUCAUGUUUUAAGCACAGCUACCUUGAAAGAGAGCAGUUACCUCUGUUAAGUCUCUCUUAAUACAAGAUCAAGAAAAUAUUCUUUAGGAGGUUAAAAAAAAAAAAAAAAAAAAAAGAAAGAAAGAAGGAAAGGAAGAAAAGCCAUGAUGUAAUUUAACAAAGUUUUCCAGAGGUUCCCUUCCCAAAUGGGGGAAAAAAUAAUAAUAAUAAUAAAAAAAAGUAAGUGAAAUCUAAUACUUGAGACUGAAUGUGGUAUUUUGGAUCCAAGGUUAAUCUCAAUUUCUCAAUGGAAAUUAAAAAUAAACAGUACUUCUAGGACAUUCUUGAAAACAAAGAAGACCAGAAAGGAAGUGGUUCAGAAAUAUACAUUUAUAUAAAAGGAUGCAGCUACAAGUACUAUUUUGUGAUGUUGUUCUGAAUUUAUGUGAAUAAGGAAAUUGUACUGCAAAACAAAAAAUGAUAAUCAUCCACUCAC
rnacentral:lncRNA from 7 species